rnacentral:hammerhead_ribozyme from 1 species
AUCCGGCUGACGAGUCCCAAACCGAACGGAACGCGCAUCCUGGAU